rnacentral:sRNA from 1 species
UAUUCUGCCCUACAGGGAAGGAUGAGAAGCUUCGACUAAGGUUCGACUCGAGCGAAGCGAGAGAACGUUGCCGCAGGCAAUGGCCCGAAGGCGAGGCGCUUUAGCGCCGAGUAAUCCUUCCCCCACCACCA